GCCCUGAUAGUGUAGUCUGGCCUAGCACAUAGCCCUGUCAAGGCUAUAACCCGGGUUCAAAUCCCGGUCAGGGCG
rnacentral:tRNA from 1 species